CCACGCUAUUGAAAACAACAACAUAUGUGAACAGAAUUUGAUCGCAAAUUCGCGAAAGUAUACAGCGAAAAUACAGGGACUUUUUCGAUAAAAUAUACGAAAUUUGAAAUGGAAAACCCGCUAAACAGACAGUCAAAGUAGUAGUGACGAUUCUCUAGCUGAAUAUGUGAAGAUUGCGAAGUGUUUGAUCAACUUUGAAGCGAGAGAUGUUGUACUUGCAUGCCAUGGUCUGAUGAAUUUCAACGCUUACGCGUUGCUACUUGCUGAAUAGCAAUGUAUCGAUCAGAAAUUUAUUCAUACAACUAAACCAACGUCUCAAUAAUUGGAAACUUACUUCAAAGUCGAAAGGUAUCGUACAAUGAAACUUUACAAUGCGAGUAUAUUUGUAAAAUUCUA